UACAGAGGUCUCAAGCGUUGUUCGGAUUCAUUGGGCGUAAAGGGCGCGUAGGCUGCGGGGUAAGUCGGGUGUGAAAUCUCAGGGCCAUCCACCGAUGAACUGCACUCGAUACUGCUCUGCUUGAGGACUGGAGAGGAGACUGGAAUUCACGGUGUAGCAGUGAAAUGCGUAGAUAUCGUGAGGAAGACCAGUGGCGAAGGCGGGUCUCUGGACAGUUCCUGACGCUGAGGCGCGAAGGCCAGGGGAGCAAACGGG
rnacentral:rRNA from 1 species